CUCCAUGUCCGAAGCGAGAGCUUCUGAAUGACUUGUUUUCACAUUAGCUUUUCUAGUUCUUUCUUCCAACUCUUUCCUCUCCGACUUGUAGUCAAAACUAUGAAUCUGUAUCAUUGUGAUACAAGAUACAAGAUAUUUCGAUCUUUAGCUUAAGCCUUCUCUUAUCAAUAGUUAUUCUUCUUGCAUCACAAAUAUAUACUCAAGCACAUAUUAUAUAUUCAAAGUAAACAUAAAAAGCUUAACGAAGGUAAAACACGCACCUUGAAGCCUCGUUCGUCUACUUUCUUGUAAUUGUAGGCAUAAUAGACAAGCUGACAUUUUCUUACUGUCUCUACACUGCAACGACUCUUUGGUAGACAAAAUCUUCCAAUUAAGGGAACUUCAAUUGGCCAAACAAAA
rnacentral:lncRNA from 1 species